UAAUACGAAGGGUGCAAGCGUUACUCGGAAUUACUGGGCGUAAAGCGUGCGUAGGUGGUGGUUUAAGUCAGAUGUGAAAGCCCUGGGCUCAACCUGGGAAUGGCAUUUGAUACUGGAUCACUAGAGUGCGGUAGAGGAUGGCGGAAUUCCCGGUGUAGCAGUGAAAUGCGUAGAGAUCGGGAGGAACAUCUGUGGCGAAGGCGGCCAUCUGGACCAGCACUGACACUGAGGCACGAAAGCGUGGGGAGCAAACAGGAUUAGAUACCCUGGUAGUCCACGCCCUAAACGAUGCGAACUGGAUGUUGGGCUCAACUUGGAGCUCAGUAUCGAAGCUAACGCGUUAAGUUCGCCGCCUGGGGAGUACGGUCGCAAGACUG
rnacentral:rRNA from 1 species